GAGGAGAGAGAUCCAAGCUUUGCACUUGUUCUGGUGGACUGCUACGCCACUCACUCAUCAAACCCUGAUGAUCCCACAUGAUACUUUCUCAUCCAGAACAAGUGUCCCACUGACCGCCGACAGGAGGUCAUCCCUGCAGGCUCGUUUCUCUGCCCUGCUCUUCCAGUUUCAGGGUGAAUACAGAGACAUUUAUCUUCACUGCAGCCUCAGCCUGUGUGACCGGAGGAGCCCCCACUGUCAGUCACACAUGUAGUACUAUUGCUAAUCCAUAAUCAAUGUUGCUUUAACACUGACUGUUUUCACUGUUUUUAACUUUGUAAAGUUGGUAUUAAUAAUCAACAAUCAAAGACUUAUAGAAGAAGACAGAAUACAACACAAUUUUUAUGAUUAUAAAAAUGAAAACAAUGAUA